AGGGCUAGUCCGCUCAACCACCUAAUUGUCCACCCACUCACUCAGGAUUCUGUCCUUUGCAGAACACCAUGGGCUGGCGCCUUGUCGUAGAAGCCGUCUGUUCUUUCACUUUUCCCAAAGAGCUAACACUUCUCUGCUGCUCUCUGGAUCCUCCUCCCCCUACCUUGAACCCUCAAGAUGAAAGGUGAGUUCUCUUCUGCCCCAUGUGGGUGGAAGAGGGUGGGAUGCCAAGGACAGGGGUCUCAUUCUCUCCCACCCAUAGAAAUGGUGCUACCCAGCUCAUAUCUGGGCCUUUGAAUCCGGGGACUUCUUUAAGUCCGUCUCGUUCUGAAUCAAGAAGAUGCUGCAAUCAGAACCACUACACUACCUGCCUCAGGAAUCUGCUCCAAGGUGAGCUGGGGCACCCUUUGGAAGCUUGCCAAGCCCACUCCCCACCCCACCCCCUCGCCCCACCUCAUUUGUCUUUAUUCUCUUUGCAGGUGAAGCUGAAAGAACAGAUGGUGUCAACAUUUUGAAACAGCAGACUCAUAGCACCCACCCACCCCUGAGAAUCCAUCUUCAUGGCCAACUCUGCCUGACCCGGGAGACCACCACCCACAUCAUCCUGGAGCCAAGCCUCUACCCCGGGAUGACUUCAUCAUCUCCCUCCUGUCUUUUUCUUCUUCCUCCUUUCCUGUAAUUCUGUUUCUUUCCUUUUGUUCCUUCCUUGCUUGAGAGACUCAAAGCACCCGUGACUCUGUUUCCCCAUUUACCCCCUUUUGAAUUUGCACUAAGUCGAUUGCACUGGUUUGGAGUCCCGGAGAUAGCCUUGAGUCUCUCCGUAUGAAUGUAUACAGCAAGUGUGUAAGCCUCUUUGGCAAUGCUGCCCCAGUACCCACCUGUCAUCCAUCUCCGUCUGAGGGCAACUGGGUGUGG
rnacentral:sRNA from 1 species